rnacentral:rRNA from 1 species
ACCGUACGGCCACUCUAACUCGCGCCCCUUAACGGGGUGGAAGACAGUGUCAGGUGGGCAGUUUGACUGGGGCGGUCGCCUCCUAAACAGUAACGGAGGCGCCCAAAGGUUCCCUCAGAAUGGUUGGAAAUCAUUCGCAGAGUGUAAAGGCAGAAGGGAGCUUGACUGCGAGACUUACAAGUCGAGCAGGGACGAAAGUCGGGCUUAGUGAUCCGGUGGUUCCGCAUGGAAGGGCCAUCGCUCAACGGAUAAAAGCUACCCUGGGGAUAACAGGCU